UCAUGCAGUCGAACGAGAAAGUCACCUUCGGGUGAUGAGUACAGUGGCGAACGGGUGAGCAACACGUGGGCAACCUGCCCCUGGGUUGGGGAUAACACUUCCAACGAGGUGCUAAUACCGAAUGAUAAGACGAGUUGAUGACUCGUUUUUAAAGGUGGCCUCUACUUGUAAGCUGCCGCCUAGGGAUGGGCCCGCGUCGUAUUAGCUUGUUGGUAGGGUAAUGGCCUACCAAGGCGACGAUGCGUAGCCGGCCUGAGAGGGUGAACGGCCACACUGGCACUGAGAUAAGGGCCAGUCUCCUACGGGAGCCAGCAGUCUAGAAAUUUGCACAAUCGCCGAAAGGCGGAUGCAGCGACACCACGUGGAGGAUGAAGCCCCUCGGGGUGUAAACUCCUGUCAGAAGGGAAGAAGGCGCGGGCGUUAAUAUCGCUCGUUGCUUGACGGUACCUUCAGAGGAAGCUCCGGCUAACUACGUGCCAGCAGCCGCGGUAAUACGUAGGGAGCGAGCGUUGUUCGGAUUUACUGGGCGUAAAGGGCACGUAGGCGGGUGCGCAAGUCGGUUGUGAAAUCCUCUGGCUCAACUGGAGAACUGCAGCUGAAACUGCACACCUUGAGUCCAGCAGAGGGAAUCGGAAUCCCAGGUGUAGCGGUGAAAUGCGUAGAUAUCUGGGAGAACAUCAGUGGCGAAGGCGGAUUCCUGGGCUGGUACUGACGCUGAGGUGCGAAAGCUAAGGGAGCGAACAGGAUUAGAUACCCUGGUAGUCUUAGCCGUAAACGAUGGGUACUAGGUGUUGGGGGACAUUGACCCCCUCAGUGCCGUAGCUAACGCAUUAAGUACCCCGCCUGGGGAGUACGGCCGCAAGGCUGAAACUCAAGGAAUUGACGGGGACCCGCACA
rnacentral:rRNA from 1 species